GAUGAACGCUGGCGGCGUGCCUAAUACAUGCGAGUCGAGCGAACAGAUGAGGAGCUUGCUCCUCUGACGUUAGCGGCGGACGGGUGAGUAACACGUGGAUAACCUACCUACAAGACUGGGAUAACUUCGGGAAACCGGAGCUAAUACCGGAUAAUAUAUUGAACCGCAUGGUUCAAUAGUGAAAGACGGUUUUGCUGUCACUUAUAGAUGGAUCCGCGCCGCAUUAGCUAGUUGGUAAGGUAACGGCUUACCAAGGCAACGAUGCGUAGCCGACCUGAGAGGGUGAUCGGCCACACUGGAACUGAGACACGGUCCAGACUCCUACGGGAGGCAGCAGUAGGGAAUCUUCCGCAAUGGGCGAAAGCCUGACGGAGCAACGCCGCGUGAGUGAUGAAGGUCUUCGGAUCGUAAAACUCUGUUAUUAGGGAAGAACAAAUGUGUAAGUAACUAUGCACGUCUUGACGGUACCUAAUCAGAAAGCCACGGCUAACUACGUG
rnacentral:rRNA from 1 species